rnacentral:rRNA from 1 species
UACGUAGGGGGCAAGCGUUGUCCGGAUUCAUUGGGCGUAAAGAGCGUGUAGGCGGCCAGGUAGGUCGGUUGUGAAAACUGGAGGCUCAACCUUCAGAGGUCGACCGAAACCAUCUGGCUAGAGUCCGGGAGAGGAGAGUGGAAUUCCUGGUGUAGCGGUGAAAUGCGUAGAUAUCUGGAGGAACACCCGUGGUGCAGACGGCUUGCUGGACCGUGACUGACGCUGAGGCACGAAAGCGUGGGUAGCAAACAGG